GUGGACUGUGACUUGCAGAGCUGUGCUCCAGUAUGAGAGAUAGCCAUGCACCCGUGUCUCGGUGCAAGGACUGGAGGUGGCAGC
ensembl:miRNA Mir678 microRNA 678